ensembl:rRNA 5S_rRNA 5S ribosomal RNA
GGUUGUGUCCAAAUUGUGAUAGUCAGCCAAUUAAAAUAGCUGUGGUAUCUCGGAAACUAAGCAGGGUUGGGCCUGGUUAGUACUUGGAUGGGAGACCACCUAGGAAGACCAGGUGCUGUAGGCU